AAUGAACGCUGGCGGUAGGCCUAACACAUGCAAGUCGAACGGCAGCACAGGAGAGCUUGCUCUCUGGGUGGCGAGUGGCGGACGGGUGAGGAAUACAUCGGAAUCUACUCUGUCGUGGGGGAUAACGUAGGGAAACUUACGCUAAGACCGCAUACGACCUACGGGUGAAAGCAGGGGACCUUCGGGCAUUGCGCUAUUGAAUGAGCCGAUGUCGGAUUAGCUAGUUGGCGGGGUAAAGGCCCACCAAGGCGACGAUCCGUAGCUGGUCUGAGAGGGUGAUCAGCCACACUGGAACUGAGACACGGUCCAGACUCCUACGGGAGGCAGCAGUGGGGAAUAUUGGACAAUGGGCGCAAGCCUGAUCCAGCCAUACCGCGUGGGUGAAGAAGGCCUUCGGGUUGUAAAGCCCUUUUGUUGGGAAAGAAAUCCAGCUGGCUAAUACCCGGUUGGGAUGACGGUACCCAAAGAAUAAGCACCGGCUAACUUCGUGCCAGCCGCCGCAGUAA
rnacentral:rRNA from 1 species